ACCCUGCUAUGCCCGUGACCGACUUGAAGUUCUGAGCCAACAGCGACACCUAGGGAGCCCGGACUCUGGUUGUGGCUCACAGGCCCCCGCGCGGGGAAGUGAUAAGCAAUCAGGAGGGCACCCACGUUCUGAGAAGGGGUUCAGGAAACUUUGAGAGGUCAACGGCAUCGUGGGGUU
rnacentral:other from 1 species